rnacentral:rRNA from 1 species
UACGUAGGGUGCAAGCGUUAAUCGGAAUUACUGGGCGUAAAGCGUGCGCAGGCGGUUAUGUAAGACAGAUGUGAAAUCCCCGGGCUCAACCUGGGAAUGGCGAUGAAGACUGCAAGGCUAGAAUCUGGCAGAGGGGGGUAGAAUUCCACGUGUAGCAGUGAAAUGCGUAGAGAUGUGGAGGAACACCGAUGGCGAAGGCAGCCUCCUGGGCCAGCACUGACGCUCAUGCACGAAAGCGUGGGGAGCAAACAGG